GAUGAAGAACGUAGCGAAAUGCGAUAAGUAAUGUGAAUUGCAGAAUUCAGUGAAUCAUCGAAUCUUUGAACGCACCUUGCACCCUUUGGCAUUCCGAAGGGUAUGCUCGUUUGAGUGUCAUUGUACUCUCACACUCCCAAUUGCUUUGGAUUGGGAGCGGUGGACUUGGGUGUUGCUGCUUGACUGAGGCUCACCUGAAAUAUGUUAGUGCACCUCUUGAUUGGACAUAGUACGGCGUGAUAAGUGUCUUCGCCGGCUCCUCGCAAAGAGGGUGGCCGAUCGGGAGCUCUGUUGCUUCAAACUGUCUUCGGACAAUCUUCUGGCGACUUGACCUCAAAUCGAGUAGGACUACCCGCUGAACUUAAGAAUAUCAAUAAGCGGAGGA
rnacentral:misc_RNA from 1 species